CAGCAGCCGCGGUAAUACGUAGGGUGCGAGCGUUAAUCGGAUUUACUGGGCGUAAAGCGUGCGCAGACGGCCCGUUAAGACAGGUGUGAAAUCCCUGGGCUCAACCUAGGAAUUGCGCUUGUGACUGGCGGGCUCGAGUACGGUAGAGGGGGGUGGAAUUCCUGGUGUAGCAGUGAAAUGCGUAGAGAUCAGGAGGAACACCGAUGGCGAAGGCAGCCCCCUGGGCCUGUACUGACGCUCAUGCACGAAAGCGUGGGGAGCAAACAGGAUUAGAUACCCUGGUAGUCCACGCCCUAAACGAUGGGUACUAGCCGUUUGGUGCGCGAUAGCGCUGAGUGGCGAAGCUAACGCGUGAAGUACCCCGCCUGGGGAGUACGGCCGCAAGGUUGAAACUUAAAGGAAUUGGCGGG
rnacentral:rRNA from 1 species